rnacentral:rRNA from 1 species
AAAUUGAAGAGUUUGAUCAUGGCUCAGAUUGAACGCUGGCGGCAGGCCUAACACAUGCAAGUCGAACGGUAACAGGAAGCAGCUUGCUGCUUCGCUGACGAGUGGCGGACGGGUGAGUAAUGUCUGGGAAACUGCCUGAUGGAGGGGGAUAACUACUGGAAACGGUAGCUAAUACCGCAUAACGUCGCAAGACCAAAGAGGGGGACCUUCGGGCCUCUUGCCAUCGGAUGUGCCCAGAUGGGAUUAGCUAGUAGGUGGGGUAACGGCUCACCUAGGCGACGAUCCCUAGCUGGUCUGAGAGGAUGACCAGCCACACUGGAACUGAGACACGGUCCAGACUCCUACGGGAGGCAGCAGUGGGGAAUAUUGCACAAUGGGCGCAAGCCUGAUGCAGCCAUGCCGCGUGUAUGAAGAAGGCCUUCGGGUUGUAAAGUACUUUCAGCGGGGAGGAAGGGAGUAAAGUUAAUACCUUUGCUCAUUGACGUUACCCGCAGAAGAAGCACCGGCUAACUCCGUGCCAGCAGCCGCGGUAAUACGGAGGGUGCAAGCGUUAAUCGGAAUUACUGGGCGUAAAGCGCACGCAGGC